rnacentral:antisense_RNA from 1 species
CUUCACCGAGCCCAGCAGCAGCGGCCGCCCAGGAUCCCGAUCCUGACCGUACGUGGCCAACAGCGCCUGCGCCUC